ACGAACGCUGGCGGCGUGCCUAAUACAUGCAAGUAGAACGCUGAAGGCGGAGCUUGCUUCUCCGGAUGAGUUGCGAACGGGUGAGUAACGCGUAGGUAACCUGCCUGGUAGCGGGGGAUAACUAUUGGAAACGAUAGCUAAUACCGCAUAAGAGUAGAUGUCGCAUGACAUUUGCUUAAAAGGUGCAACUGCACCACUACCAGAUGGACCUGCGUUGUAUUAGCUAGUUGGUGAGGUAACGGCUCACCAAGGCAACGAUACAUAGCCGACCUGAGAGGGUGAUCGGCCACACUGGGACUGAGACACGGCCCAGACUCCUACGGGAGGCAGCAGUAGGGAAUCUUCGGCAAUGGACGGAAGUCUGACCGAGCAACGCCGCGUGAGUGAAGAAGGUUUUCGGAUCGUAAAGCUCUGUUGUAAGAGAAGAACGAGUGUGAGAGUGGAAAGUUCACACUGUGACGGUAUCUUACCAGAAAGGGACGGCUAACUACGUG
rnacentral:rRNA from 1 species